GGGUUGUGAGGUUAAGCGACUAAGCGUACACGGUGGAUGCCCUGGCAGUCAGAGGCGAUGAAGGACGUGCUAAUCUGCGAUAAGCGUCGGUAAGGUGAUAUGAACCGUUAUAACCGGCGAUUUCCGAAUGGGGAAACCCAGUGUGAUUCGUCACACUAUCAUUAACUGAAUCCAUAGGUUAAUGAGGCGAACCGGGGGAACUGAAACAUCUAAGUACCCCGAGGAAAAGAAAUCAACCGAGAUUCCCCCAGUAGCGGCGAGCGAACGGGGAGCAGCCCAGAGCCUGAAUCAGUAUGUGUGUUAGUGGAAGCGUCUGGAAAGGCGCGCGAUACAGGGUGACAGCCCCGUACACAAAAAUGCACAUGCUGUGAGCUCGAUGAGUAGGGCGGGACACGUGGUAUCCUGUCUGAAUAUGGGGGGACCAUCCUCCAAGGCUAAAUACUCCUGACUGACCGAUAGUGAACCAGUACCGUGAGGGAAAGGCGAAAAGAACCCCGGCGAGGGGAGUGAAAAAGAACCUGAAACCGUGUACGUACAAGCAGUGGGAGCACAGAGCAAUCUGUGUGACUGCGUACCUUUUGUAUAAUGGGUCAGCGACUUAUAUUCUGUAGCAAGGUUAACCGAAUAGGGGAGCCGAAGGGAAACCGAGUCUUAACUGGGCGUUAAGUUGCAGGGUAUAGACCCGAAACCCGGUGAUCUAGCCAUGGGCAGGUUGAAGGUUGGGUAACACUAACUGGAGGACCGAACCGACUAAUGUUGAAAAAUUAGCGGAUGACUUGUGGCUGGGGGUGAAAGGCCAAUCAAACCGGGAGAUAGCUGGUUCUCCCCGAAAGCUAUUUAGGUAGCGCCUCGUGAAUUCAUCUCCGGGGGUAGAGCACUGUUUCGGCAAGGGGGUCAUCCCGACUUACCAACCCGAUGCAAACUGCGAAUACCGGAGAAUGUUAUCACGGGAGACACACGGCGGGUGCUAACGUCCGUCGUGAAGAGGGAAACAACCCAGACCGCCAGCUAAGGUCCCAAAGUCAUGGUUAAGUGGGAAACGAUGUGGGAAGGCCCAGACAGCCAGGAUGUUGGCUUAGAAGCAGCCAUCAUUUAAAGAAAGCGUAAUAGCUCACUGGUCGAGUCGGCCUGCGCGGAAGAUGUAACGGGGCUAAACCAUGCACCGAAGCUGCGGCAGCGACGCUGAUGCGUUGUUGGGUAGGGGAGCGUUCUGUAAGCCUGUGAAGGUGUGCUGUGAGGCAUGCUGGAGGUAUCAGAAGUGCGAAUGCUGACAUAAGUAACGAUAAAGCGGGUGAAAAGCCCGCUCGCCGGAAGACCAAGGGUUCCUGUCCAACGUUAAUCGGGGCAGGGUGAGUCGACCCCUAAGGCGAGGCCGAAAGGCGUAGUCGAUGGGAAACAGGUUAAUAUUCCUGUACUUGGUGUUACUGCGAAGGGGGACGGAGAAGGCUAUGUUGGCCGGGCGACGGUUGUCCCGGUUUAAGCGUGUAGGCUGGUUUUCCAGGCAAAUCCGGAAAACUAAGGCUGAGGCGUGAUGACGAGGCACUACGGUGCUGAAGCAACAAAUGCCCUGCUUCCAGGAAAAGCCUCUAAGCAUCAGGUAACAUCAAAUCGUACCCCAAACCGACACAGGUGGUCAGGUAGAGAAUACCAAGGCGCUUGAGAGAACUCGGGUGAAGGAACUAGGCAAAAUGGUGCCGUAACUUCGGGAGAAGGCACGCUGAUAUGUAGGUGAAGUCCCUCGCGGAUGGAGCUGAAAUCAGUCGAAGAUACCAGCUGGCUGCAACUGUUUAUUAAAAACACAGCACUGUGCAAACACGAAAGUGGACGUAUACGGUGUGACGCCUGCCCGGUGCCGGAAGGUUAAUUGAUGGGGUCAGCGCAAGCGAAGCUCUUGAUCGAAGCCCCGGUAAACGGCGGCCGUAACUAUAACGGUCCUAAGGUAGCGAAAUUCCUUGUCGGGUAAGUUCCGACCUGCACGAAUGGCGUAAUGAUGGCCAGGCUGUCUCCACCCGAGACUCAGUGAAAUUGAACUCGCUGUGAAGAUGCAGUGUACCCGCGGCAAGACGGAAAGACCCCGUGAACCUUUACUAUAGCUUGACACUGAACAUUGAGCCUUGAUGUGUAGGAUAGGUGGGAGGCUUUGAAGUGUGGACGCCAGUCUGCAUGGAGCCGACCUUGAAAUACCACCCUUUAAUGUUUGAUGUUCUAACGUUGACCCGUAAUCCGGGUUGCGGACAGUGUCUGGUGGGUAGUUUGACUGGGGCGGUCUCCUCCUAAAGAGUAACGGAGGAGCACGAAGGUUGGCUAAUCCUGGUCGGACAUCAGGAGGUUAGUGCAAUGGCAUAAGCCAGCUUGACUGCGAGCGUGACGGCGCGAGCAGGUGCGAAAGCAGGUCAUAGUGAUCCGGUGGUUCUGAAUGGAAGGGCCAUCGCUCAACGGAUAAAAGGUACUCCGGGGAUAACAGGCUGAUACCGCCCAAGAGUUCAUAUCGACGGCGGUGUUUGGCACCUCGAUGUCGGCUCAUCACAUCCUGGGGCUGAAGUAGGUCCCAAGGGUAUGGCUGUUCGCCAUUUAAAGUGGUACGCGAGCUGGGUUUAGAACGUCGUGAGACAGUUCGGUCCCUAUCUGCCGUGGGCGCUGGAGAACUGAGGGGGGCUGCUCCUAGUACGAGAGGACCGGAGUGGACGCAUCACUGGUGUUCGGGUUGUCAUGCCAAUGGCACUGCCCGGUAGCUAAAUGCGGAAGAGAUAAGUGCUGAAAGCAUCUAAGCACGAAACUUGCCCCGAGAUGAGUUCUCCCUGACUCCUUGAGAGUCCUGAAGGAACGUUGAAGACGACGACGUUGAUAGGCCGGAUGUGUAAGCGCAGCGAUGCGUUGAGCUAACCGGUACUAAUGAACCGUGAGGCUUAACCUUACAACGCCGAAGGUGUUU
rnacentral:rRNA from 1 species